AGGACGAACGCUGGCGGCGUGCCUAACACAUGCAAGUCGAACGCGCUCCAUUCGGUAGCAAUACUGAUGAAGAGUGAGUGGCGAACGGGUGAGUAACACAUGAGCAACCUGCCCCGAAGACCGGGACAACACCGGGAAACCGGUGCUAAUACCGGAUAUCCCUAUCGGACCGCAUGAUCUGAUAAGGAAAUGGAUUCCGCUUCGGGAGGGGCUCGUGGCCUAUCAGCUAGUUGGUGAGGUAACGGCUCACCAAGGCAUCGACGGGUAGCUGGUCUGAGAGGACGAUCAGCCACACUGGGACUGAGACACGGCCCCAGACUCCUACGGGAGGCAGCAGUGGGGAAUCUUGCGCAAUGGGCGAAAGCCUGACGCAGCAACGCCGCGUGGAGGACGAAGGCUUUCUGAGUUGUAAACUCCUUUCAGCAGGGACGAUAGUGACGGUACCUGCAGAAGAAGCACGGCAACUACGUGCCAGCAGCCG
rnacentral:rRNA from 1 species